rnacentral:rRNA from 1 species
AGUGAACGCUGGCGGUAGGCCUAACACAUGCAAGUCGAACGGCAGCACAGUAAGAGCUUGCUCUUACGGGUGGCGAGUGGCGGACGGGUGAGGAAUACAUCGGAAUCUACUUUUUCGUGGGGGAUAACGUAGGGAAACUUACGCUAAUACCGCAUACGACCUACGGGUGAAAGCAGUGGAUCUUCGGACCUUGCGCGAUUGAAUGAGCCGAUGUCGGAUUAGCUAGUUGGCAGGGUAAAGGCCCACCAAGGCGACGAUCCGUAGCUGGUCUGAGAGGAUGAUCAGCCACACUGGAACUGAGACACGGUCCAGACUCCUACGGGAGGCAGCAGUGGGGAAUAUUGGACAAUGGGCGCAAGCCUGAUCCAGCCAUACCGCGUGGGUGAAGAAGGCCUUCGGGUUGUAAAGCCCUUUUGUUGGGAAAGAAAAGCAGCAGGUGAAUACCCCGCUGUUCUGACGGUACCCAAAGAAUAAGCACCGGCUAACUUCGUG